rnacentral:rRNA from 1 species
AUGUCGACCAUGAUAGUCAUGCAGUUUUUCGUGUUUGCCUUACUCUGUCUCCCGUGUUGGGCCAAUGUCGUGCAUCUACCCACCUUGUCAACUGCUCAAACUGCCACAACAAGCAGCGCCACUGACCACCAAGCGCUCAUGUCAUUGAGGUCUCUGUUUAAAGGAGAUCCAUUCCAAGCACUGACUUCAUGGGGAAACCAGUCGAUCCCGAUGUGCCAAUGGCGCGGAGUGGCCUGUGGCACGCGUGGCCACCGCCGCGGCCGUGUCGUCGCACUGGAUCUUCGUGGACUCAACCUUGUUGGCACCAUUGCCUCUUCCAUAGGUAAUCUAACUUACCUCAGGCAUUUUGGCCUCCAAGAGAACCACUUUUACGGUGCCAUACCAUCAGAGGUUGGACAUCUCGUACAACUUGAGUAUCUGAACCUCAGCAGGAACUCCAUCGGCGGCGACAUCCCGCCUACACUGGCCACUUGUGUUCAGCUUCAAGUCAUUGAUCUGAGGCACAACAUGCAUGAAGGUUCGGUGUCCCAGGAGUUGGCAUCCCUGCAUAAUCUUGAGGUACUGGCUCUUGGGUACAACAACCUUACAGGAAGUAUCCCUGUGGAGAUUGGAAACCUGAAAGCUCUGACCAGUCUUCUUCUGAACUCAAACAUGCUAGUAGGAGAAAUCCCAACACAAAUAGGAAAGCUUAGAAACUUGACCGAUUUAGAUCUUUACUUCAAUGGUUUGUCAGGUUCUAUUCCUGCCUCUCUUGGAGGCCUCCAGAAAUUACAAAUUUUGUAUCUAUCAGAAAACAAGCUCUCAGGGCCGAUUCCACCUUCCCUAGGAAACCUCUCAUCUCUAAAUGUUCUAGCUUUCGAAGAAAAUGGCCUAACUGGUAGCAUCCCUGAAUCGUUAGGAAAUAUGAAUCUCCUCAACGCCCUUUGUCUCACACUUAAUAGCCUUACAGGCUCAAUCCCUCCCACUCUUGGAAAACUCAGUUCGCUCGUUGGGUUGUAUCUGACUGGGAAUCAACUCGAGGGUACUAUACCACCUUCUCUCUACAAUCUUUCAUCCCUCCAAGUUUUAAGCGUGCAAAUUAACAACCUCAGUGGAUCUAUUUCAGAUGACCUGGGUAAUAAGUUUCCACAACUUCAGCUACUUGGCAUGAGCAGUAAUCAAUUUCAUGAGUCCAUCCCAGAGUCUUUGUGCAAUGCUUCAAUGCUUGAAAUGGUUCAAUUGGGUGCCAACUUUCUUACCGGAGUAAUACCAAAAUGUCUUGGAGCUACCAUGAAGAGCUUAUCGUUACUGCAUCUCUCAUUUGGUCAACUAGAGGCAAGGAAUGAUGCGGAUUGGGACUUCAUUUCUAGCUUGACAAACUGUAGUAUGCUGAAGAAGCUGAGUCUAGGCAAUAACAAACUAGAAGGGGUGCUGCCCUAUUCGAUAGCAAAUCUUUCCACAAAUUUAAGAUUUUUCAGCGUGUCGGACAACAUGCUACGGGGAAAUAUACCUGAAGGAAUUGGAAACCUUGUCAACUUGCAAGGGUUGCAGAUGAAUGGUAAUUUCCUAAAUGGAAAAAUUCCUGAAUCAAUUGGCAACCUUGGGAUCCUGGUUGAACUAUACUUGUACAACAACAGCUUAUCUGGACCAAUUCCACCAGUAUUUGGAAAUCUCACAUCACUAAAUAGACUCGUCCUCACCCAAAAUGUGCUUACUGGCUCCAUACCAUCCAGCCUUGGAAGUUGUCCUUUUGAGACACUAAGCCUACAAUUCAAUCAGCUUGUUGGUCCUAUACCAAAAGAGAUUUUCCUCAUAUCGACACUGUCUGUUUCCAUGGAGCUCCAAGGCAAUAAGUUAACUGGGACAAUUCCUUCAGAAGUUAGUAAUGUAGUGCAUCUUGGAUCUCUGGAUGUGUCUGACAACAGGAUAACUGGCUUAGUUCCUGCCUCUCUAGCUCAGUGUGGAAGUUUGCAGUAUCUCAGUAUGGAAGGAAACCUACUUCAGGGCACAAUUCCAGCAUCAAUAUCACAGAUGAAAGGCCUUCUAGUUCUUGAUGUUUCAAGAAACAACUUGUCCGGGGACAUCCCAAUCUUCCUUGGGGACAUGCAGGGGCUCGCUACCCUGAAUAUAUCAUUCAACAAUUUUGAGGGUGAAGUUCCAAAACGUGGAUUAUUUCUGAAUGCAAGUGCAGCUCUGAUCGAAGGGAACUAUGGCUUAUGUGGAGGUAUCCCCCAAUUUAACUUGCAUCCCUGCUUAAACCAUACAUCCAAGAAGUGGUCACACAAAAUUGUCGUGUUUAUCUCAGUAGGCAGCGCAGUUCUUUGCAUCAUCUUAGUACUAUUUGCAAUAUUUGCACGCCAGAAAUUGAGAAGCAAGUUUACUAAGACAGGACGGGUUCCAUCACUCCAUAGUGGACAACAUAUGAGAGUUACCUAUGCUGAAUUAGUGAGAGCAACAAGUGGUUUUGCUUCUGAGAACCUCUUAGGCGCAGGAAGCUUUGGGUCCGUGUACAAAGGAACAAUGAUGGAUGGACAUCAGGAAGUGGUUGUCGCUGUGAAGGUGCUCAACCUCGAGCAGCGAGGGGCAUCUCAAAGCUUUGUUGCAGAAUGUGAGACUUUAAGAUGCAUUAGACAUCGAAACCUUGUGAAGAUAUUGACCGUUUGUUCAAGUAUUGAUUUCAGAGGUCUAGACUUCAAAGCUCUAGUAUUUGAGUUCAUGCCGAAUGGAAAUCUUGAUCAAUGGCUACACGGCCGUCUCCUGGAAGAUGGGGGCCAUGGGGUGCUCAGUCUUACCCAAAGGAUAGACAUUGCCAUUGAUGUAGCUUCAGCACUCGAAUACCUUCACCACAAUAAGCCAGUACCAAUAGUUCAUUGUGAUCUUAAGCUAAGCAAUAUUCUCCUCGAUAAUGACAAGGUUGCCCAUGUCAGUGACUUUGGACUUGCAAGGUUCUUGCACCAGGAUGAUACUAGCCUCCCAGAGAUAUCAAGUGGUUGGGCUACAAGAAGGGGAACAAUUGGAUAUGCUGCUCCAGAGUACGGUCAAGGAAAUGAAGUCUCGGUCUAUGGUGAUACCUAUAGCUUCGGAAUACUGUUGUUAGAGUUGUUCACUGGUAAAAGGCCAACUGAUGGUGAGUUUCUGCAAGAUCUAAACCUACAUAGUUACGUCGACAUAGCACUGAGAGACCAAGCCAGCAACCUGGUCGAUCUGUGUUUAUUAUCUUCACUGGAGGAAGGGACAACCAUGAGAGCUGCAUGCAUCACUUCAGUUCUGCACAUUGGGAUAUUAUGCUCGAAGGAACUGCCAACUGAUCGCAUGCAGAUUGGGCAUGCUAUGAGAGAGCUACUGGCGAUCAGAGACAAGUAUCGCACACACCUAUUGAGUGAAGGUGGGUCCAUUUAA